rfam:Camelus ferus unplaced genomic scaffold scaffold681, whole genome shotgun sequence.
GAGGGUAUAGCUUAAAUGGUAGAGCGCAUGCUUAGCGUACACAAGGUCCUGGGUUCAAUCCCCAGUACUUCCU